rnacentral:rRNA from 1 species
GGGGAAUAUUGGACAAUGGGCGAAAGCCUGAUCCAGCCAUGCCGCGUGUGUGAAGAAGGUCUUCGGAUUGUAAAGCACUUUAAGUUGGGAGGAAGGGCAUUAACCUAAUACGUUAGUGUUUUGACGUUACCGACAGAAUAAGCACCGGCUAACUUCGUGCCAGCAGCCGCGGUAAU